rnacentral:rRNA from 1 species
ACGGAAGGCAGCAGUGGGGAAUAUUGGGCAAUGGGCGAAAGCCUGACCCAGCAACGCCGCGUGAAGGAAGAAGGUUUUCGGGUUGUAAACUUCUUUUAUCAGGGACGAAGAACGUGACGGUACCUGAUGAAUAAGCCACGGCUAACUACGCGCCAGCAGCCGCGGUAAUACGUAGGUGGCAAGCGUUAUCCAGAUUUACUGGGUGUAAAGGGCGCGUAGGCGGGGAUGCAAGUCAGAUGUGAAAUCCAUGGGCUCAACUCAUGAACUGCAUUUGAAACUGUAUCUCUUGAGUGCUGGAGAGGUAGAUGGAAUUCCUUGUGUAGCGGUGAAAUGCGUAGAUAUAAGGAAGAACACCAGUGGCGAAGGCGAUCUACUGGACAGUAACUGACGCUGAGGCGCGAAAGCGUGGGGAGCAAACAGGAUUAGAUACCCUGGUA